rnacentral:lncRNA from 1 species
UGGAUACUGAUUACAGAUCCAAGGUGACGUCAUUCAUCUAACAUUCCACUGAAGUGAGAUGGACAGAUUAAAUUUUACUGCCACUCAUUUUCCAGGUAGAUUCUAUUAAUCAACGAAAAUCCGUAAAAAUCAUUACAGGAUAAUACUCUUCUAUAUGUUUACAAAAACCCAACAGCUCCUCUGAUGAGAUUCCCUGGGCUCCCAUUCACCGGAUCAGAUUUGUAUCUUGUCUCUUUUGCACUGACUGUUCAACGUCUGCUUGUCCCUGCAGGUCACACUCCCUUGGUCUGAUUAACUUUUGGCGAUCCAUCACCAACUGGACUGGAACUUUCUCUGAGCUGCUGUUACUGCAAAAAUACCAGAAGCUAACAACUUGAAGGAUUUAAUUGGAGAUGAAGGAAAACUGUAUUGAGAGAUAACACCUCUCCAUGUAAGAAGCAAAGAAAAGGCAUGUUUCUCUUUUCUGUGUAUUAUUAGAACUUGUCUGCCCUCCUCAGCGCAUCAGCACUAAUGAUGCUGAAGUCCAUGAAAGAUAAUUGCCUUGAGUCAUUCUCUAGCCACAGAGAAGGUAAGAUUAAUAAAGAACAUUUGUUAUAAUUUUGCAACCAAUUUAUAUAAUGGAACUCAUAAUAAAUAACCACAUUUAACACAAGCAUUCAUCAAAGCCAAUUUACACAUCAAUUUGUUCACUAUGUGUUAAACCAACCAUUUGUAAGAAUAAGUUGGUUUCUUC